AUAUUUAAAACAAGGUGCAA
rnacentral:piRNA from 1 species